UGGGGAAUAUUGCACAAUGGGCGCAAGCCUGAUGCGGCCAUGCCGCGUGUAUGAAGAAGGCCUUCGGGUUGUAAAGUACUUUCAGCGGGGAGGAAGGGAGUAAAGUUAAUACCUUUGCUCAUUGACGUUACCCGCAGAAGAAGCACCGGCUAACUCCGUGCCAGCAGCCGCGGUAAUACGGAGGGUGCAAGCGUUAAUCGGAAUUACUGGGCGUAAAGCGCACGCAGGCGGUUUGUUAAGUCAGAUGUGAAAUCCCCGGGCUCAACCUGGGAACUGCAUCUGAUACUGGCAAGCUUGAGUCUCGUAGAGGGGGGUAGAAUUCCAGGUGUAGCGGUGAAAUGCGUAGAGAUCUGGGGGAAUACCGGUGGCGAAGGCGGCCCCCUGGACGAAGACUGACGCUCAGGUGCGAAAGCGUGGGGGGCAAACAGG
rnacentral:rRNA from 1 species